UACAGAGGUCUCAAGCGUUGUUCGGAUUCAUUGGGCGUAAAGGGUGCGUAGGUGGCGCCGUAAGUCAGGUGUGAAAUCUCGGGGCUUAACUCCGAAACUGCAUUUGAUACUGCGGUGCUUGAGGACUGGAGAGGAGACUGGAAUUUACGGUGUAGCGGUGAAAAUGCGUAGAUAUCGUAAGGAAGACCAGUGGCGAAGGCGGGUCUCUGGACAGUUCCUGACACUGAGGCACGAAGGCCAGGGGAGCAAACGGG
rnacentral:rRNA from 1 species